rnacentral:rRNA from 1 species
GAUGAACGCCGGCGGCGUGCCUAAUACAUGCAAGUCGAGCGAACGGACGAGAAGCUUGCUUCUCUGAUGUUAGCGGCGGACGGGUGAGUAACACGUGGAUAACCUACCUAUAAGACUGGGAUAACUUCGGGAAACCGGAGCUAAUACCGGAUAAUAUUUUGAACCGCAUGGUUCAAAAGUGAAAGACGGUCUUGCUGUCACUUAUAGAUGGAUCCGCGCUGCAUUAGCUAGUUGGUAAGGUAACGGCUUACCAAGGCAACGAUGCAUAGCCGACCUGAGAGGGUGAUCGGCCACACUGGAACUGAGACACGGUCCAGACUCCUACGGGAGGCAGCAGUAGGGAAUCUUCCGCAAUGGGCGAAAGCCUGACGGAGCAACGCCGCGUGAGUGAUGAAGGUCUUCGGAUCGUAAAACUCUGUUAUUAGGGAAGAACAUAUGUGUAAGUAACUGUGUACAUCUUGACGGUACCUAAUCAGAAAGCCACGGCUAACUACGUG